ACCAGUCGGCUCCGCAACCAUGAGCCCACUCGUCUCCUCCCUCCUGCUCCUGGCCGCCCUGCCAGGGCUGAUGGCGGCCGUGACGUUGGACGAGUCCGGGGGCGGCCUCCAGACGCCCAGAGGAGCGCUCAGCCUCGUCUGCAAGGCCUCCGGGUUCACCUUCAGCAGUUAUGGCAUGGGUUGGGUGCGACAGGCGCCCGGCAAAGGGCUGGAGUGGGUCGCUGGUAUUGGCAGCAGUGGUAGUGGCACAGCAUACGGGUCGGCGGUGAAGGGCCGUGCCACCAUCUCGAGGGACAACGGGCAGAGCACAGUGAGGCUGCAGCUGAACAACCUCAGGGCUGAGGACACCGGCAUCUACUACUGCGCCAAAGCUGCUGGUAGUGGUUACUGUGGUUGGAGUGCUUAUGCUGGUAGCAUCGACGCAUGGGGCCACGGGACCGAAGUCAUCGUCUCCUCCGCCUCGGCCUCCCCGUCGCCCCCCCGCCUCUUCCCGUUGGUUCUGUGCUCCCCCUCCGACUCCGUCUACACCGUCGGCUGCGCCGCCUUCGACUUCCAGCCCUCCUCCAUCGCCUUCACGUGGUUCGAUUCCAACAACAGUUCCGUUUCCGGUAUGGAUGUUAUCCCUAAAGUCAUUUCUGGUCCACCUUACCGGGCCGUCAGUCGAAUACAGAUGAAUCAAAGCGAAGGGAAAGAGAAACAGCCCUUCCGGUGUCGGGCGGCGCAUCCACGCGGCAACGUCGAGGUCAGCGUGAUGAACCCAGGUCCCCCGAUUCCCACCCCCCUUUUCGUCACCAUGCACCCCCCGUCCCGCGAGGACUUCGAAGGCCCCUUCCGCAACGCCUCCAUCCUCUGCCAGACCCGCGGGCGCCGCCGUCCCGCCGAGGUCACGUGGUACAAAAAUGGCAGCCCCGUCGCCGCCGCCGCCGCCACCACCGCCACCACCGUCGGCCCCGAAGUGGUGGCCGAGAGCCGCAUCAGCGUCACCGAAAGCGAAUGGGACACCGGGGCCACCUUCAGCUGCGUCGUGGAGGGGGAGAUGAGGAACACCAGCAAGAGGAUGGAGUGCGGAUUAGAACCCGUCGUGCAGCAGGACAUCGCCAUCCGCGUCAUCACGCCGUCCUUCGUGGACAUCUUCAUCAGCAAAUCGGCCACGCUGACGUGCCGGGUGAGCAACAUGGUGAACGCCGAUGGCCUGGAGGUGUCGUGGUGGAAGGAGAAGGGGGGCAAACUGGAGACGGCGUUGGGGAAGAGGGUCCUGCAAAGCAACGGCCUCUACACGGUGGACGGGGUGGCCACGGUGUGCGCCAGCGAAUGGGACGGAGGGGAUGGCUACGUGUGUAAGGUGAACCACCCCGAUCUGCUCUUCCCCAUGGAGGAGAAGAUGAGGAAGACGAAAGCCAGCAACGCCCGCCCCCCAUCCGUCUACGUCUUCCCCCCCCCCACGGAACAACUGAACGGCAACCAACGGCUCAGCGUCACCUGCAUGGCUCAGGGCUUCAACCCCCCCCACCUCUUCGUCAGGUGGAUGAGAAAUGGGGAACCCCUCCCCCAAAGCCAAUCGGUCACAUCGGCCCCCAUGGCGGAGAACCCCGAAAAUGAGUCCUACGUGGCCUACAGCGUUUUGGGGGUGGGGGCCGAAGAGUGGGGCGCCGGCAACGUCUACACGUGCCUGGUGGGCCACGAAGCUCUGCCCCUCCAGCUGGCCCAGAAGUCGGUGGAUAGGGCUUCGGGUAAAGCCAGUGCUGUCAAUGUCUCCUUGGUGUUGGCCGACUCGGCCGCCGCCUGCUAUUAAUUAAUUAACCCGCUGUGUUAAUUGGGGUACCCGGUGGGAUUAAAGAGCAGAUGUCCUUCGGACGGGGUUUUGGGGUCGUCGAUUUCAUUCGGGGGUCAUCACCUCAAUUGAGACGGUUUGGGGUCAUUGACAACAUGGGUAGGGAGUGGAUUCAUAAUUAGAGGGGGUCUGUUAAUUAGGGUAAUGAGAGCGAUUAGGGCUUCAUUGGGAUCUAUUGGGUCGUUAAUGACUGGGAGGGAUUGGGUGGCGUCGGUUCCAAGGAGGUGUUUGGGGUCAUCGUUGGGAUACGUUGGGUCAGUGUCAAGAAGGGGAUAGACUGGGGUCAUUAGUGUAAUUAGAGGGCUUAAUUGGGCCGUCAUCUUAAUUAGGGUCAUCGGAGUCAUCGUCUUAAUUAGAGGGAUUGGGGGUCGUAGGUUUAAUUUGGAGAGUUUGGGGUCAUCGAUGGCUACAGCUGGAGUUGAGGUCACUAUCAGAUGAGUUUAGGCUAAUUAGUGUAAUUAGAGGGCUUAAUUGGGCCAUCAUCUUCAUUAGGAUCAUCAGUCAUUGUCUUAAUUAGAGGGAUUGGGGUUCAUGGGUUUAAUUGGGAGAGUUUGGGGUCAUUAUCGUCUCAAUUGGGAGAGUUUGGGGUCAUCGAUGGGAGAGUUGGGAUCAGCGUCACUAUCAGAAGCGAUUGGGGUCAUUAGUGUAAUUAGAGGGCUUAAUUGGGCCCAACGUCUUAAUUAGGAUCGCCAGACUCAUCAUCUUAACGAGAAGGGAUGGGAGCGCUGAGGGUAAUGAGAAGGGUUGGGGGUCAUCGGCGUACGGAGGGGGAUUUGGGGUCGUUAUGGUAACGAGAAAGAGAGGGCUUCGGGUAAAGGCAGUGCUGUCAAUGUCUCCUUGGUGUUGGCCGACUCGGCCGCCGCCUGCUAUUAAUUAAUUAACCCGCUGUGUUAAUUGGGGUACCCGGUGGGAUUAAAGAGCAGAUGUCCUUCGGA